rnacentral:tRNA from 1 species
CCUGAUGUCUCAGAUAGUAAAGAAUCUGCCUGCAAUGCAGGAGACCCAGGUUCCAAACCCUGGGUCAGGA